CGAGUCGCGAGAAUUAGAUUCUCGGCGUACCGCUCAGUAACACGUGGGCAAUCUGCCCUAUGCUGGAUAAUAACCUCGGGAAACUGAGAAUAAUGAUCCAUAGUUCACUACGCCUGGAACGGUGAGUGGAUGAAAGCUCCGGCGGCAUAAGAUGGGCCUGCGGCGUAUCAUGUUGUAGGGGGUGUAACGUACCCUCUACCCCUCUACGCGUACGGGUGUUGGGAGACAUACCCCGGAUAUGGAUUCUGAGACACGAAUCCACACCCUACGGGGUGCAGCAGGCGCGAAAACUUGGCAAUGCGAGAAAUCGUGACCAGAGAACUCCAAGUGCAUCGGGUAAGACCGGUGCUUUUCUUGACUCUAAAUAGGUCUUGGAAUAAGGGGUGGGUAAGGACGGUGCCAGCCGCCGCGGUAAUACCGGCGCCUCAGGUGGUAGUCGCUUUUAUUGGGCCUAAAACGUCCGUAUCCGGUCUGAUACAUUCGUGGGUAAAUCAACCAGCUCAACUGGUUGAAUUCUGCGAGGACGGUCAUACUUGGGACCGGAAGAGGUGUGGGGUACGCUCAUGGUAGGGGUAAAAUCCUGUCAUCCUG
rnacentral:rRNA from 1 species